rnacentral:tRNA from 1 species
CCCCUUGUCCUGGCGGAUCCAGGUCUCGGUCUACGAAGCCGAUGAGCGAGGUUCGACUCCUCGCAAGGGGACCA